ACAAUGCUCUGGGCGGCAGGGCUCUUGCAGAGCCGCGGCAUGUCCUGGUCCUCUAGGCGGUGCGGCUGUAUCACAACCAGCCACCGGUGCUGCAGGCAGCACAGGAAGCAUUAUGGAGAAUCCUUCUGAAGUAUGAAUGUCCACUGCAAUUUGUCACUAUUCUUCAUCUCCUUCAUGACGACAUGCAAGCGGUGAUCCUUGGUGACUGAUUUACUCCAGCUCCUUUUAGAACUAAGACAGGCAUCAAUGCUCUUCUUCAUCUUCUUUGCUGCAAUGCUUUAUUUGAUCAGUAAUAAGAUCCUGGUAGAAGUACAGCUAAUCUACCAAAUGGAGAGCAAGCGGUUCAACCUUGGCUGCUUUUGAUCCACAAUCAAAACAUCGCUGACUUCAGUCGGUGAGCUGAAGUAUGCUGACGACACUGUAGCAUGUGCUCACUCAGAAACAGAUCUUCAGGUGAUCAUCAACGUCUUUGCUAAAGCAUAUCCGAAAAUGGAACUGAAGCUUAACAUUCAGAAGACAAAGGCCCUCCAACAGCAAACUCCUGGUGUAAUAUUCCCAGCACCAGUAAUACAGAUCCACAAUAAUCCUCUAGAGAAUGUUAUGCACUUCCCAUAUUUUGGAAGCCACCUCCCACAUACAGCUGAUAUUGAUGAAGAAAUCCGGUAUGAGCUCAAAUGUGCAAGCUGAGCUUUUGGUCAUCUGAGAAAGAGGAUGUUUGAAGAUUGUGACAUCAGAAUCAAAACCAAACUUGUGGUCUAUAAAGCCUUUGGGAUGUCCACCCUACUGUAUAGGGCUGAAACAUGGACAACAUUCAGGAGACAUCUUAAGGUGCUGGAGAAGCAUCAUCAACGCUGUAUGCACACAAUUCUCCAAAAUCAAAAGGGAUGAUAGACACACUAACAUCAGCGUCCUCUCACAAGCCAAUAUGAGCAUCGAGGUUAUUAUUAUCUACCAUCAACUUCACUGGGCAGGCCAUGUUGUCCAAAUGCCUGAUUCUAGACUGCCAAAACUAAUCUUCUUUCAACUCAGCCAAGGCAAAUGUGCAAGAGGAGGGUAGAAAAAAUGCUAUAGGGAUGUCCUCAAGGCGAAUAUGAGGAAAUGCAACAUUGACAUCAACUCGUGGGAAAUGUAUAACCCAGGACCGACAACAAUUAAGGUACUCCUUGAGGCAGAGAACUCAGCACUUCGAGAAUCAGACGCAACUACAUGUAAUGGAAAAAUGGAAACAACAGAAAGAGUGUGCUAAGGCCCAAACCAAUACCCCAGGUUCACCUGCCCUGCUCAGAAACACAUCUGCAACUCGGCAGAGUCUGCAACUCCAGAGUAGGACUUAUCAGCCAUCAGCGGACCCACAGAUAAAUUUGAAAUGGAUAAUCCAUGAAAAACAAUCAUCCUUGACUUCAAGGGAUUCAAGAUGACGACAAAUCUUCCUAAAAUGAGUUUUAAUACUAUUUACUAAUUAAUCCACUCUUAUAAGUGGAAUUUUGUACGAUUUAAAACUACAUCUUCAAUAAUCUGACAUGUACACACAUUUUCUUUAUUGCAUACAAGGGAGGAAGGGAACAACAGAGAUGAUGUUGCUGUGAGUUCUGAAUUUCCUGACACCUGUGAGAAAUUAAAGUUUUAAAUCUUGACACUGCUAUUAUAGGAUUUUUUUCAAACAAGUGGAACGCCAAGUGUCAUCACUACAUAGCAUUUGAAUGAGGAAGGCCACAGGAACAGAAAGGGACCAUAUUCAGAUAUGGGGAACAGCCUUCUCUACUGGUUUGGAUCAUGAAAGUCACAACUAAGCCCUGACAGAUUUUUCUUUGUGCCUUUGCAAAGCAAACUUAAAAAGAUACUGGAAAACCAAAAGUCUGAUAGUAAAUAAUGGGAAGUAAAUAACCUGGAGAUCAGGUUAAUGAUCAUGAAUGUUCAAAUCACUUCAGCAUCAUAUUUAGACAUGCUAGUGUUUCAAAGACUAAAGGAAUGGCCUAGCUAUAUUACUGCAUUCAUUGAAUUUAUAUUACUGCUCUGAAUAUGUAGAAGAACAAAAAAAAAAAAGCCAACCAUUUCAGAACUGUUAUAUAUAAUAUUUAAAACACAGUUUCAUGACCUCUUUCUUAUGUGGAACUCAGAAAAAAUGGGGGCAAGGGUAAUUACCCCACAAAAGGCAUUAUGAUCAAAAUAUCAGCAUUUUUCUGACUUGUCUUAUUGUCCCAUAAAUAUUUUAUAAGAUGAAAGGAAGUUAUAUAGUGGUUACAUCACACAACUGGAAUUAAAGAGUAACCACCACUGCUUUGGCUUUGAUCAAGUCACUUUACCCCUCUGAACCUCAGUUUUCCCAAUCUCUAACAAGGAAAUACCACAGAAGAAUACUGACACUGUCUUCUGGUUGUGCAUGUAAAGAUACUACAGCAGUGCAAACUACUAUUAUUAAACAUAAGUGUUUAUUUUUC